rnacentral:tRNA from 1 species
GCGGAAGUAGCUCAGUUGGCAAGAGCGCGGGAUUCAUAGGUCCCGAAAGUCGCUGGUUCGAGUCCAGCCUUCUGCACCA